rnacentral:rRNA from 1 species
GACGAACGCUGGCGGCGUGCUUAACACAUGCAAGUCGAACGGAAAGGCCUCUUUCGGGGGGUACUCGAGUGGCGAACGGGUGAGUAACACGUGAGUAACCUGCCCUUGACUUUGGGAUAACUUCAGGAAACUGGGGCUAAUACCGGAUAGGAGCUCCUGCUGCAUGGUGGGGGUUGGAAAGUUUCGGCGGUUGGGGAUGGACUCGCGGCUUAUCAGCUUGUUGGCGGGGUAGUGGCUUACCAAGGCUUUGACGGGUAGCCGGCCUGAGAGGGUGACCGGCCACAUUGGGACUGAGAUACGGCCCAGACUCCUACGGGAGGCAGCAGUGGGGAAUAUUGCACAAUGGGUGGAAGCCGGAUGCAGCAACGCCGUGUGCGGGAUGACGGCCUUCGGGUUGUAAACCGCUUUCGCUCAUGACGAAGCUUUGUGUGACGGUAGUGGGUAAAGAAGCACCGGCUAACUACGUG